rnacentral:rRNA from 1 species
UAGGGAAUCUUCCGCAAUGGACGCAAGUCUGACGGAGCAACGCCGCGUGAGUGAAGAAGGAUUUCGGUUCGUAAAACUCUGUUGUUAGAGAAGAACAGAGCACAGAGUAACUGUUAUGCGUGUGACGGUAUCUAACCAGAAAGCCCCGGCUAACUACGUGCCAGCAGCCGCGGUAAUACGUAGGUGGCAAGCGUUGUCCGGAUUUAUUGGGCGUAAAGCGAGCGCAGGCGGUCAAUUAAGUCUGAUGUGAAAGCCCCCGGCUCAACCGGGGAGGGUCAUUGGAAACUGGUUGACUUGAGUGCAGAAGAGGAGAGGGUAAUUCCAUGUGUAGCGGUGAAAUGCGUAGAUAUAUGGAGGAACACCAGUGGCGAAGGCGACUCUCUGGUCUGUAACUGACGCUGAGGCUCGAAAGCGUGGGUAGCAAACAGG